rnacentral:misc_RNA from 1 species
CCCACAAGUAGGGGUGAUCAGGAUAUAGUUUAAACCGAAAUAACUGACUGAAUCAAACUGAUUUAAAAUUUCAGUUUGAUUAAUUAGAUAAUUUGGUUCAAUUCAGUUUUAAAAUUUUGAAAAUUUGGUUUAAUUGGCUCGGUUCAGUUUUUGAAGGUAAAUUUUUGGAAAAACGAAACCAAAAUAUAUUAUAUAGAUAAAUAAAUGUAGCAUUCAGAUUGAUUGUAGCAUAGUCAUUAAAAGUUUAUGUAAAGAAUUGGUAGGCUUGUGUUCAAUUCCCAGCAACACACCUUCAAUUUUUUUUAAAGUUUUUAAUCCUAGCCAUUCAUUUCCCUUCGUAUAAUCUGAAACAUUCAAAUCAAGCUUCAUAUUCAUUACACCAACCACAAACAAAACCCUAGCCACCUGCCCACCUCCUUUCUUUUUCUUCCUCUCUUCCUCUCACUCUCAUUCCCUAACCAGUAGCACCAAUCUCCUCCUUUCUUUUCCUUUUCUCUCUUCUUUUCACUCACCUUCCCCAGCCAGUAGUCGCCACCUGCUCACCUUCUUUUACUUUCCUCUCGUCCUCUCCAUUGUCAAAUUCUCUAUGUCCACAACCAACUUGCUCACGAAGCCACUCAACUCGGCUGACGAGGUAGGAGCAGCAGGGGGACAGCAGCAGCCAGGAAACCUCUCUCACGUCAAUGUACCUCCCUCAAGCCACUAUCGCAUGCAACCCUCGCCAUCACUGCCAUUGGAGGAUGAACAACAGAUUUCUUGGCUUGAGAAUAUAUCAAAUUUAUGGCGGGUUUCUACAAUUUUAAUUGAUUUCCUUGUGCUUUCGUUAAUAUACAUAUUUUUGUGGAUUUUUUGUUUAUGGGUGGUUGAAUUUUGUUCAAUGUGAUAUUUGUUUGGAUGGAGGAACCAAAUUGUCUCUGGAUUAUCAUUUUUUUUUUUAAUUUGUGCUUCUCCCAAUCCUCUAAUUUUAAACUCAAAUUGGUUUGAAUUGAUGCUUGUGGCUGUUUGGAUAUCAGAACAAUGUGUUUGUGAGUGGCCAAGACUAAGAACCAAA